AACGCUGGCGGCGUGCCUAAUACAUGCAAGUCGAACGAAACUUCUUUAUCACCGAGUGCUUGCACUCACCGAUAAAGAGUUGAGUGGCGAACGGGUGAGUAACACGUGGGCAACCUGCCCAAAAGAGGGGGAUAACACUUGGAAACAGGUGCUAAUACCGCAUAACCAUAGUUACCGCAUGGUAACUAUGUAAAAGGUGGCUAUGCUACCGCUUUUGGAUGGGCCCGCGGCGCAUUAGCUAGUUGGUGGGGUAAAGGCUUACCAAGGCAAUGAUGCGUAGCCGAACUGAGAGGUUGAUCGGCCACAUUGGGACUGAGACACGGCCCAAACUCCUACGGGAGGCAGCAGUAGGGAAUCUUCCACAAUGGGCGAAAGCCUGAUGGAGCAACGCCGCGUGGGUGAAGAAGGUCUUCGGAUCGUAAAACCCUGUUGUUAGAGAAGAAAGUGCGUGAGAGUAACUGUUCACGUUUCGACGGUAUCUAACCAGAAAGCCACGGCUAACUACGUGCCAGCAGCCGCGGUAAUACGUAGGUGGCAAGCGUUAUCCGGAUUUAUUGGGCGUAAAGGGAACGCAGGCGGUCUUUUAAGUCUGAUGUGAAAGCCUUCGGCUUAACCGGAGUAGUGCAUUGGAAACUGGGAGACUUGAGUGCAGAAGAGGAGAGUGGAACUCCAUGUGUAGCGGUGAAAUGCGUAGAUAUAUGGAAGAACACCAGUGGCGAAAGCGGCUCUCUGGUCUGUAACUGACGCUGAGGUUCGAAAGCGUGGGUAGCAAACAGGAUUAGAUACCCUGGUAGU
rnacentral:rRNA from 2 species